UCCCCGUUAUCCGAGGCAGUCUGUCGUGAAAAACAACACGACAUAGGGGUUGCGCUCGUUACCCCACUUAAGGGUACACCUCACGGCACGAGCUGACGACAACCAUGCAGCACCUGUGCAGCACUCUCGAAGAAGUCUUCCUUUCAGAAGAUGUGCAGCUGCAUGUCAAGCCUUGGUGAGGUUCCUCGCUUACCGUCGAAUUAAACCACAUGUUCCACCGCUUGUGCGGGUCCCCGUCUAUUCCUUUGAGUUUUAGUCUUGCGACCGUACUCCCCAGGCGGGAUGCUUAACGCGUUAGCUUGUUUUGACGACUCUGGGAGGGUCGAUACUCCCAAAAUCCAGCAUCCAUCGUUUAGGGCGUGGACUA
rnacentral:misc_RNA from 1 species